rnacentral:rRNA from 1 species
CGGUUCGCUGCCGACAACGUCACGAGAAGUCCACUGAACCUUAUCAUUUAGAGGAAGGAGAAGUCGUAACAAGGUUUCCGUAGGUGAACCUGCGGAAGGAUCAUUGUCGAAAUCGAACGGAAGGAUGACCCGCGAAUCGUCGUUGCGUAACGGAGAGAGCUCGUGAGCACCCAACGCUCACGCGGCUCGCGUCGCGUCGGCGCGGGUGUGCUCGAGACCCGCGUCGUACCGGCGUACAAACAACGUCAGCACGGAUCGUGCCAAGGAGCUGCAUGGAGAGAAUGGUCGUCCAGCGCCUUCGAUUGUCCCCGUUGCGGGACGGGGGCGGGGGAUGUACGCAAUCUCUGCUCAAAGUCUAAAUGACUCUCGGCAACGGAUAUCUCGGCUCUUGCAUCGAUGAAGAACGUAGCGAAAUGCGAUACUUGGUGUGAAUUGCAGAAUCCCGCGAACCAUCAAUUCUUUGAACGCAAGUUGCGCCCGAAGCCAUUCGGCCGAGGGCACGCCUGCCUGGGUGUCGUGAACCCCCCUGCCCCUAGGCCACCCGCACGCGCAUUGGCGGGGAAAUGCCCGGGCGCAGAAUAUGGUCUCCCGUGGGUUCGGCACGCACGACGUGCCGAGGUGCGGUUGGCCGAAAAUCGAGCAUGGCGGUGACGGGCACCACGGCGUUCGGUGGAUCGAACGAGAUUGGCUGCGUCGUGGGCUCGGCAUGCGGCGGGCUCCGGACUUUGACCAUCCCCGAGUGCGAUCCCAGGUCAGGCGGGGCUACCCGCUGAGUUUAAGCAUAUCAAUAAGC